CCUACGGGUGGCAGCAGUGGGGAAUAUUGCGCAAUGUGCGAAAGCCUGACGCAGCGACGCCGCGUGAGGGAUGAAGGUCUUCGGAUCGUAAACCUCUGUCAGCAGGGAAGAACGGUCACUGUGCUAAUCAGCAGUGAAUUGACGGUACCUGCAAAGGAAGCACCGGCUAACUCCGUGCCAGCAGCCGCGGUAUUACGGAGGGUGGGAGCGUUAAUCGGAAUUACUGGGCGUAAGGCGCUCGUAGGCGGUAUGUCAAGUCAAGGGGGAAAUCCCCGCGCUCAACGUGGGAACUGCCUUUGAAACUGGCAAACUGGAGUGUGUGAGAGGAUAGUGGAAUUCCAGGUGUAGGAGUGAAAUCCGUAGAUAUCUGGAGGAACAUCAGUGGCGAAGGCGACUAUCUGGCACAUAACUGACGCUGAGGAGCGAAAGCGUGGGUAGCAAACAGGAUUAGAUAGCCCUGUAGUC
rnacentral:rRNA from 1 species